rnacentral:rRNA from 1 species
UACAGAGGUCCCGAGCGUUGUUCGGAUUCACUGGGCGUAAAGGGUGCGUAGGUGGCAGAGUAAGUUUAAUGUGAAAUCUCCGGGCUUAACCCGGAAACUGCAUUGAAUACUAUCCUACUUGAGGGUUGGAGGGGGGACUGGAAUUCUCGGUGUAGCAGUGAAAUGCGUAGAUAUCGAGAGGAACACCAGUGGCGAAGGCGAGUCCCUGGACAACACCUGACACUGAGGCACGAAAGCUAGGGGAGCAAACAGG